AAUCUAAUCUAAACUACAUGUGACUCCAGAUCCACAGUGACGUGGUUGACUCUGAACUGCCCUCAAGAAAAUUAUGGAUGGCUAUUGAAAAGACAGGUCAAUGUUCCAUGCAGGAGAGUUAAAUGGCUUGGCAAAUUAUUUGAUUAACAUUCUAGAUGGGCUUAAAAAACAUCAGCUAUAUUGCAUUAAUAUACUGAAGUAAUAUUGCUGUUGGAAGAAAACAUAAGCCAGUACAGUUAUAAAAGAAUAGCGAUGAUAAAGUAGAUUAAUAGGAUUGUUAGUGCCAGAUUUCUUACCAAAAUAGAUUUGUUAAAGGAAUACUGGCAAGCUCCUUUAACAUCCAGUGCUGAAGAAAUAUUGGCCUUUGUCACAUCAGUCAGUUUUUUCCAAUGCUGAGUGCUGUCAUUUAGACGAAAUAUGGCUUUCCAAAAGCUGAUGAUUCAAGUAGUAGCCAAUGAUCCUAACUGUGUAGAUUACCAAGAUGAUGCAUUGACAUAGUGACAUUUGAAAAGACUGCUUGGAACAAUUAGAACCUUUGUUGAGGAAACAAUUAGCUAAGUAGCUUUCUGCAAAGCUACCAGGAACCUACUUAGGGUAAACAGUAAGCCAAGAACCAGUGCUAGCAAGAACAGCAGAAGCACAAGUGUUAGAGAAGUUCCUUGCCCAUAAAAUUAAAUAUGAAUAAAUAAGAUUGGGAGGGGGGGGGGGGGUACUUUUUAUUUAUUAACGUUAUACGUUUGUACCAAGUUUCAGCACCGUAGCUGCUCACUGAUGGAUUUGUCCAAAGGAAAGCCAGGAUAGUAUCGUCAGGGUGGAGAUUGUGAAGGCUUUCAUACUUCAUGUUUUGAGGACUGAGCUUUGGACUUUUGUGGAAAAAUUAAUUUAUGAAUUAUCAUGAAGAUACCUCGAUUAGUUUCUCCAAAAUAAGUAAUUGAAAUUUUACUGUGCACAUUGGACCUUUUAUAAAAAAGGCUCCUAGCAAUGACAUAACUUGUAAUAAUUGCAUUUUUUUUUUGCUGAAGACGUCCUCUGGGGUUGUUUUAAGUUUGGAGUUUCCUCUGGUUUUCACAUAAAGAACAAACCAGUGAGGAAAGGGCUACAUAGCUGACCUCUCCUGUUUCUGAAAAACAAGCUUGUCACGAAUACAGGAUGAAAUGUAUUUGUUCCAGACAUUGUAACUAAACACAAAACCUUCAUAAUAUUGUGUUUCCUGAGCAAGUUGUGUUUGCCAAGGCUUCACUUACUACUGCAUGCGUUUGGUGACCUAUCUACAAAUAGCAGACCACUGGGCUGGAAGAUGGUAUGAAUAUUCCACACCUGCUCCUUAUCCAGUUCAAGCCAUUCAAGUGUAUUGGCCUAAAUUUUGUUUUCUCGGAAAGUCAAUCUCUGCAGGAAAAUCUAUUCUUUAUCCUUUAUCCGAUGUUUCUGCGCCUGUCUGUGUUUCUAUGUGUAUGUUUUAGGUUAUUUAGAGGGAUAGAAAAUUAUGCUUUCAUAUUACAGACUAUAUUUUAGCUAAUUUUGCUUUUUUAUUGAAUACGCUUUGUAAUACAAUAAAUGGAUAAUUUUAUGCUUA